rnacentral:tRNA from 1 species
GUAUCGGUGGUUCAGUGGUAGAAUGCUCGCCUGCCACACGGGUGGCCCGGGUUCGAUUCCCUACCGAUGCA